rnacentral:rRNA from 1 species
AAGCGUGCGCAGGCGGUUAUACAAGACAGGCGUGAAAUCCCCGGGCUUAACCUGGGAAUGGCGUCUGUGACUGUAUGACUAGAGUGUGUCAGAGGGGGGUAGGAAUUCCACGUGUAGCAGUGAAAUGCGUAGAUAUGUGGAGGAAUACCAAUGGCGAAGGCAGCCCCCUGGGAUAACACUGACGCUCAUGCACGAAAGCGUGGGGAGCAAACAGGAUUAGAUACCCUGGU